rnacentral:rRNA from 1 species
GUGGGGAAUAUUGGACAAUGGGGGAAACCCUGAUCCAGCCAUGCCGCGUGUGUGAUGAAGGCCUUCGGGUUGUAAAGCACUUUCGCACGUGACGAUGAUGACGGUAACGUGAGAAGAAGCCCCGGCUAACUUCGUGCCAGCAGCCGCGGUAAUACGAAGGGGGCAAGCGUUGUUCGGAAUUACUGGGCGUAAAGGGCGCGUAGGCGGUGCUCUAAGUCAGGCGUGAAAGCCCUGGGCUCAACCCGGGAAUUGCGCUUGAUACUGGAGCGCUUGAAUCCAGGAGAGGUUGGUGGAAUUCCCAGUGUAGAGGUGAAAUUCGUAGAGAUUGGGAAGAACACCGGUGGCGAAGGCGGCCAACUGGACUGGUAUUGACGCUGAGGCGCGAAAGCGUGGGGAGCAAACAGG